UCUGGUUGAUCCUGCCAGAGGCCACUGCUAUCGGGGUUCGAUUAAGCCAUGCGAGUCGAGAGGUGAAAGACCUCGGCGUACUGCUCAGUAACACGUGGACAACCUACCCUAAGGAGGGGGAUAACCCCGGGAAACUGGGGAUAAUACCCCAUAGACUAGAGAAGCUGGAAUGCUCUCAAGUCCAAAGGUCCGCCGCCUUAGGAUGGGUCUGCGGUCGAUUAGGUUGUUGUUGGGGUAACGGCCCAACAAGCCCGUGAUCGAUACGGGUUGUGAGAGCAAGAGCCCGGAGAUGGAUUCUGAGACACGAAUCCAGGCCCUACGGGGCGCAGCAGGCGCGAAAACUUUACAAUGCGGGAAACCGCGAUAAGGGGACACCGAGUGCCAGCAUCCUAUGUUGGCUGUCCAUAUGUCUAAAUCACAUGUGUUAGCAAGGGCCGGGCAAGACCGGUGCCAGCCGCCGCGGUAACACCGGCGGCCCGAGUGGUGGCCACUAUUAUUGGGUCUAAAGGGUCCGUAGCCGGUUUGGUCAGUCUUCCGGGAAAUCUGACGGCUCAACCGUUAGGCUUUCGGGGGAUACUACCAGGCUUGGGACCGGGAGAGGUAAGAGGUACUACGGGGGUAGGAGUGAAAUCUUGUAAUCCCUGUGGGACCACCAGUGGCGAAGGCGUCUUACCAGAACGGGUCCGACGGUGAGGGACGAAAGCUGGGGGCACGAACCGGAUUAGAUACCCGGGUAGUCCCAGCUGUAAACUAUGCUCGCUAGGUGUCAGGGACGGUGCGACCGUUUCUGGUGCCGCAGGGAAGCCGUGAAGCGAGCCACCUGGGAAGUACGGUCGCAAGGCUGAAACUUAAAGGAAUUGGCGGGGGAGCACUACAACGGGUGGAGCCUGCGGUUUAAUUGGACUCAACGCCGGAAAACUCACCGGGGGCGACAGCAAUAUGUAGGUCAAGCUAAAGACUUUACCAGAAUCGCUGAGAGGAGGUGCAUGGCCGUCGUCAGUUCGUACUGUGAAGCAUCCUGUUAAGUCAGGCAACGAGCGAGACCCACGCCAACAGUUGCCAGCAUGUCCUCCGGGAUGAUGGGGACACUGUUGGGACCGCCUCUGCUAAAGAGGAGGAAGGAAUGGGCAACGGUAGGUCAGCAUGCCCCGAAUUAUCCGGGCUACACGCGGGCUACAAUGGACAGGACAAUGGGUAUCGACACCGAAAGGUGAAGGCAAUCUCUUAAACCUGCCCGUAGUUCGGAUUGUGGGCUGCAACUCGCCCACAUGAAGCUGGAAUCUGUAGUAAUCGCGUCUCAAAAUGGCGCGGUGAAUAUGUCCCUGCUCCUUGCACACACCGCCCGUCAAACCACCCGAGUGAGGUCUUGAUGAGGCUGCGGUUGUCGCCGUGGUCGAAUCUGGGUUUCGCAAGGGGGGUUAAGUCGUAACAAGGUAGCCGUAGGGGAAUCUGCGGCUG
rnacentral:rRNA from 1 species